rnacentral:rRNA from 1 species
CGGACGGGUGAGUAACGCGUGGAUAACCUGCCGUAUACUGGGGGAUAACACUUAGAAAUAGGUGCUAAUACCGCAUAAGCGCACAGCCUCGCAUGAGACGGUGUGAAAAACUCCGGUGGUAUACGAUGGAUCCGCGUCUGAUUAGCUUGUUGGCGGGGUAACAGCCCACCAAGGCGACGAUCAGUAGCCGGCCUGAGAGGGUGAACGGCCACAUUGGGACUGAGACACGGCCCAAACUCCUACGGGAGGCAGCAG